rnacentral:lncRNA from 1 species
CUGAAGGAGGUGUAUGCCACUCUACAAAAAUAUCGGAUGAAGCUCAACCCAAAAAAAUGUGUAUUCGGUGUAGCUUCGGGAAAAUUUUUGGGCUUCAUGAUCACCCAUCGGGGGAUAGAAGCCAAACCCGAUAAGAUCCAGGCCUUGGCAACAAUGGAAUCACCCAGAACUAAGAAAGAAGUGCAAAAAUUGACAGGAAGGGUAGCAGCCCUAAACAGGUUCAUGACCCGAGCAACAGACAUGUGCUUCCAUUUCUUCAAAGUUUUUAGAGAUAGCCAAUCCUUUAAAUGGAAUGAGGAGCGUGAAAAAGCUUUUUAAGAGCUCAAACAGACAUUGGCGUCUCCCCCUAUCCUCACCAAACCUGAGCCCAGGGAUACUUUGUUAUUAUACUUAGCCUUGUCUCAAAACUCAGUAAGCGACGUCUUGG